rnacentral:rRNA from 1 species
GUGAACGCUAGCGGUGCGCCUAACACAUGCAAGUCGAACGGCCCGCAAGGGCAGUGGCGGACGACUGCGUAACACGUUGGAACCUGCCCCGAACUCAGGGAUACCCCGGAGAAAUCCGGGUUAAUACCGGAUGAUCCCGCAAGGGUAAAGAUUUUUCGGUUCGGGAGGGGCCUGCGGCCUAUCAGCUAGUUGGUGAGGUAAUGGCUCACCAAGGCUAUGACGGGUAGCUGGAUUGAGAGAUCGACCAGCCAGGAUGGGACUGAGAUACGGCCCAUACUCCUACGGGAGGCAGCAGUGAGGAAUCUUCCGCAAUGGGCGAAAGCCUGACGGAGCGACACCGCGUGGAGGAUGAAGUCAUUCUUUGAUGUAAACUCCUGUUCUGAGGGAACAAAUUUUUGAGUGUACCUCAGGAGAAAGCAACGGCUAACUACGU